CACAUGCAAGUCGAACGGUAACAGGAAGCAGCUUGCUGUUUCGCUGACGAGUGGCGGACGGGUGAGUAAUGUCUGGGAAACUGCCUGAUGGAGGGGGAUAACUACUGGAAACGGUAGCUAAUACCGCAUAACGUCGCAAGACCAAAGAGGGGGACCUUCGGGCCUCUUGCCAUCGGAUGUGCCCAGAUGGGAUUAGCUAGUAGGUGGGGUAACGGCUCACCUAGGCGACGAUCCCUAGCUGGUCUGAGAGGAUGACCAGCCACACUGGAACUGAGACACGGUCCAGACUCCUACGGGAGGCAGCAGUGGGGAAUAUUGCACAAUGGGCGCAAGCCUGAUGCAGCCAUGCCGCGUGUAUGAAGAAGGCCUUCGGGUUGUAAAGUACUUUCAGCGGGGAGGAAGGGAGUAAAGUUAAUACCUUU
rnacentral:rRNA from 1 species